UAGAUCUCAAAUCAGGU
rnacentral:rRNA from 1 species